UUGAGCAACGGAGCAAAACAUUACCCCGCUCAUUUUGAAUGACGUGCAGAUGGAGCGCGGGUGAAAUCAUGCAAUAGGGUGCGGAACAAUAAAAUUAAACAUAAAAAUUGAACAUUGUAAUUGUUCAAUGUUUAUACCUAGAAAAGUAUAAAAGAUGGAAUGUCGAAUGUGAAUGUUCUCUUUUUGCUGUGGAUUCUUGUACGUAAUAGUAGUGAGCGCGUGUAAAUGUUAUUUAAUUUUGAGGUUAGUUUGUUAGUACCUCGUUUUAGUGGAAGUGUUAUUAAUUGUUUGUUUCUCUAGAUUGUUAUUUGUUUAGUACAAACAUGCAAGUUAGUACGGAUUAAAAUCACCACAGUCUAAAACGGUGAUUAUUAGUACGAACACGAAUUAAAACCCAAGAAAAAGCAAGUGAACAAACAAAACAAACAGAAAUACCAACAAGAAAAAGGUCCAGCGGGCCUUUUUCUUUUUGUUUGUGGCCUUUCUUUGGUAGAAUACUAUUUCCGGAACUCCCGGACGCGCAGUGAACCAGACCCAGCAAGAAGAAGCCUGAGUGAACGUCCAAUCCAGGCCGUCGUUCGGUGUCAGCGACGACGCCAUCUUUCUCCGACCAUCUGCCGGCCAGAGCCGGUUCAAUCCCGUCGACCGUUGUGCGACGACGCCAUCUUCAAUCCCAUCAUCCUCCGGCCAAAGCCAGUGUGCCAAGACGCCAUGACGAACCACAACGCGUUCCGAUGGGCGGCCUGAUCAACCGCCCGUCGACCUCCGUGGCCACCAUCCGGCCAACCAGACCACCAAACAGCAGCUAAACCGCAAUACAAACAUGCAAGUUAGUACGGAUUAAAAUCACCACAGUCUAAAACGGUGAUUAUUAGUACGAACACGAAUUAAAACC